rnacentral:lncRNA from 1 species
UGUAAAUUUAUUCCUGUUAACUAAAAGGCAACAGAAAACUAAUGGCAUUUUAUCUUUCUUUGUCUUUAUAGAGGGGAUAAUGUGGGAUUUCUAAGAAUGAAGACUGGAAAAAUCCUAGUAGAUCAAUCAGUGGAGCAGAGUAUUGUGAACUCCAGUGCAAAGACCCACAAGCUGCAAAUCUAUAUCAAAAAGAAGACUGUGCACAGAAUCAUGUCAGCAAAUACGUGGAAGGGGAAGAUAACUAUUUGGAUAGCCACAAGACUAAGAGCAGGAUCAGGCAGAUGCAUUUGGCUGUUGAGCAGGGCAGUCUCUAAACAGUGGAAAAGAGGAGGGGAUGACUCACUGCUGCAGCAAGCUGAGGAUGCUUCUGCUCACUGCCUCCAGACUAAUUAAUUUAUCAUGAAAGUGGAGGAGUUUUGCUGAAUGUCACCAUGCUUGUUUUCCCUGCCUGGGCUUCCCCCAUUAUUUUGAGGUGGAUCUUUAAUGGAAAAAUUGGGUCUGCCAUCUGGAAGUGCACCCAUCUCUCUGAUGAUGCUGCAGGCCUAAAUGGGAAACCCCAGCAGCAUUUUUGCUUGCAUGACUCCAGGCCCUGCACCACGACAGAGUGCCCAGGACACGUCAGAGACCACUCUGCUGAGAGUGGGGAUAGCACCUGAAGUCCCAUGGAGAAGGCAGCUGCUCCUGGCUCACUGCCCACGUUCUUGGCUGCUUCCUGCCUUGGUGCCUUACUUGUUGUGCCAGCUGGAGCCUUGGGGGAGCUGCUGCUGAUUUCAUCGCUCAACAAAUUCCCCUGUGCAAAUACAGAUGAAAGCACCCCCCUCUCAGGGAAGGUUGGUGCCAGGAGUGUCAGACAGCAGUCUAAAUAGUUUUAUGGAAAGCUGGAAAGGACAUUUUAUGAUCUUACCAAUAGGUUUGAGUCACAGAUGUCCUUCCACUCAUGCACUCCUGAAUUCAGAGCCUGAAGUGCCAACUGCCUUGUCACAGCUAUUCCUACUCAUGACAAAGAUGGAUUUACCUUGAUGUAGAUUUUUCAUGGAAGUCAGCUUUGAUAUACGUGUUAUGCAGUAAAGCUUGGGCUUCCUUGUGACUACUAGAAGUUCUAUAAUGCUUUCAACUAGG